UUAAAUUGUUGCUUAAAACUUAUUUUCUUGAAUGUCCUUUAAAAUGUUCUAGCAAAUUCUAAUAUGUUGAUAAAAAAAGUCUUCAAAAUAAUAGUUUUUUACACUAUUUUACUAAUUAUUUCUGUACCUCUCUUUCGUUUCAUGGAUGCAAUAUAUUGCACCUUGCAACAUGUUUAUUCAGAUCCAGACUUUUUAAAAGUUCAAUGAAACUUUUCCGAGUAUUUAA
rnacentral:lncRNA from 1 species